rnacentral:ncRNA from 1 species
GGGGACGCGUCUUAGAAUCCCCGCAGCCCGAUGGUGUUAAUAGCUCUUUCCAUGGCCGGGAAGAGUGGUUAGUGAAUC